CGGACGGCACCAUAGACCCUACCCUACAAAAUCGAGGACAUGAACCUACCCAAGCCGACAAAUCCACAGGACAAAAACUUAGCCAACACAACUGGGUAACAUCAUUUCCACCUGCGCUCCGUCCCACCGCCAUCGGAGAUCGGCCAUGGCCGCUUCCUCCGCCGGCACCCCACCGCCGGAUGACAUUUCAUCCUCUCGCCCUACACCAUUCGUUUUCUCUUCCGAUUCCCCUACGAGAAUCUCUCUCACUCCCGAUCAGCGUAAGUACUGCUCUGAGGCUCUCCAAUUGUUCAGAGAGAAGCUCCGUACUCCCGAGCAAAUCAUUCAAGAGUUCGCUCAUUUGCAGGCUAUUAGGAUAACGCCAUCUCAGAUGGCUAGAAACUGCACAGUGGCUUUUGACAGUGUCAACAAGAGCAAAAACCGUUAUACGGAUGUGGUACCUUUUGACCAAAAUAGGGUUAUUCUUAAUCCAUGCAAGGAUUAUAGACCAUCUGCUAAGGGAUAUAUAAAUGCGAGCUUCAUCACGACUUCUUCAUCUGAAAGCAUUUCUCGGUUUAUAGCCACGCAGGGUCCAGUGCCACACACCUUUGAGGAUUUUUGGGAGAUGGUAAUCCAGUAUCAUUGCCCGGUAAUUGUGAUGCUUACUCGGCUAGUUGACAAUUACAAGAUUGUAAAAUGUGGAGAUUAUUUUCAAGCAGAAGAUGGUCCUAGAGAUUUUGGAAAUAUGUGUCUAGUUACUAAAUGGAUGAGAAGUACUGACACUUCAUUAGUGUUGCGCCACUUGGAGGUGGGAUAUAAAGAGUCAGAGGAGCCACCCAUGUCUGUUUUGCAUGUUCAGUACACUGAAUGGCCUGAUCAUGGAGUUCCCAAGGACACACUUACCGUUCGCGAAAUCUUAAAAAGAACAUACCAAGUGCCAUCGAAUCUGGGCCCAGUAGUUGUCCACUGCAGUGCAGGUAUUGGUAGAACUGGAACCUACUGCACUAUUCACAACACAAUUCAGAGAAUCCUUGUUGGAGACAUGUCUGCUUUAGAUCUUGCUAAUACCAUAACCAUUUUUAGGUCCCAGCGAGUGGGGAUGGUUCAAACCAUGGUAUAUCUUUUUUUACAUUUUCUUAAAACUUCGUUUUUCUUAAUUCAUUUACUGUAUAUGUGUGUGUGUGUGUAGUUUUGAUCUGAUCUAUUCAUUUACUUGGGUUUCUAAAAAUUCUGAAUGCCAAUUUGAACUUGCUGACCUAUUGGCAUGCUUUGAGUCCCUAAUACCAUAAAAAGCAUAAAUGCAUGACGAUGAAAGUAUGGUUUUAUUGCUGAAGAUAUAGUUGACAAAUUUUUGGAGAAUUACCUAGUAAUGAAGUCUGAAGUGAUGUUACAUUGACUCCCUGAACAAAUCCCUGGAAAAAAAAGGUAAAAAUUGAAAAGAUUAUUUUGCAUUAUUUGUCUGGAUUCAGUGAGAAAUGCAUUUAACAAAUUCAAUCAAAUAACCUAUUUGAGUCUUGAAAAUGACCUUCUCAGCAGCUAAUUUUAAUUGGCAAGAAAAGGGGAAAAAGAUCACAGUAAAUAUUUCAGAGUUACUAAAAUUCAUUUUAUGUUUAACUUUUUAUGACCUAAUAUCAUGUUUUUCCACCAUGCAGUUUCUCUGUAUCUUUUCAUGGGUUCCCUCACCCCUCUUUUUCCCAAACCCUAACCCUUUCCCCUUUCAUUUUUCUUUUUGGGUUUUGGGGAUGAUGGGAGGCAUUAUUUGAUUCUUUGAUGUUACUGGAUAGAGAAAUGAGGGCACUAAAAUUUUCAGUUUCAUUUUUCAAGUACCGGUGCCCCUAUUGUUUAUUUACCCCUAAGUCUAUUGCUUAUUUGAUUAAAAUUCACCGUCUGCAGGAGCAAUAUUUUUUCUGCUAUAAAGCUAUCGUUGAUGAACUAGAAGACCUCAUCUCAGAAUGCAAUAGUUGAAGGACCUCAAAAAUGCAACCAGGUUAGCAAGCGGCAUGUGGUGUUGAAAAAUGAUGGAUUAAAUGCGACAGCUGCUUGCUCACUUCUUAUAAUCAGGGCUGGACAAAUGCAAAAUGAUGAUGAUUCAAUGUUUUUGUCGCACUCCUACAGCAGCUAGAUGCUUGGUUAAAUGACCAAUUCUGUAUUCUUGAAACCUCUGCUUUAGUCCCUGUUAAUAGGAUGAUGCAAAUCAUCUAUAAAUGAAUAGAAUUGUAGUCCCUGCAGGAUUACUUCCUCAUGUUUUCCAGAUUGGAUAUGCUAAAUCAAGCAGCGUUGGGCUUGUGAGGCUAAUGCUCCAGGUUGAUUUUUCCCAUAAAAUGUCAACUUUUGAAUUGCCCAGUUCUCAAUUCUAUUAAUUGUGAGAUUGUUAAUGUUGGGAUCAGAAAGUCUCAGUAAGAUUGCUUGAGGUUUGAUCUAAUAUAUAUUUUUGUAAUUCCAAUUUUAGAAUUAAAAAUUUAUUACAUAUCUAUCUAUCUAUACAAAGUAGGCAAAGUUUUCUUGGUGUUUUCAGAGGGACAAAUUUUCUCUUGGUAUUGUCACGUCACUUACUAUACAGAGAUUAUUAUGUUUUAUAAUUAUAGUAAUU
rnacentral:misc_RNA from 1 species